rnacentral:rRNA from 1 species
AAACAGGCUAUCGGACUGCGGCGUCGUUUUCAGAUCCUGGAACCUGCGCAUGACUGGGCGCUGCGCGUGCUAAACACAGGAAAGUCGUACGAGACGAUUGAAAGCUUGCUUUUGAAAGUCGAGUGGCAAACGGGUGAGUAACGCGUAGACAACCUGCCGUAAAGAUGGGGACAACAGUCCGAAAGGACUGCUAAUACCGAAUGUUGUGGAACCUCCGCAUGGGAGCUCCACUAAAGAUGGCCUCUACUUGUAAGCUAUCGCUUUACGAUGGGUCUGCGUCUGAUUAGCUAGUUGGUGGGGUAACGGCUUACCAAGGCGACGAUCAGUAGCCGGUCUGAGAGGAUGAACGGCCACAUUGGAACUGAGACACGGUCCAGACUCCUACGGGAGGCAGCAGUGGGGAAUCUUCCGCAAUGGGCGCAAGCCUGACGGAGCAACGCCGCGUGAGUGAAGAAGGGUUUCGACUCGUAAAGCUCUGUUGUCGGGGACGAACGUGGAGAUGGUGAAUAACCAUUUCCAAUGACGGUACCUGACGAGGAAGCCACGGCUAACUACGUGCCAGCAGCCGCGGUAAUACGUAGGUGGCGAGCGUUGUCCGGAAUUAUUGGGCGUAAAGGGAGCGCAGGCGGGAGAUCAAGUCUAUCUUAAAAGUGCGGGGCUCAACCCCGUGAGGGGAUGGAAACUGGUCUUCUUGAGUGCAGGAGAGGAAAGCGGAAUUCCUAGUGUAGCGGUGAAAUGCGUAGAUAUUAGGAGGAACACCAGUGGCGAAGGCGGCUUUCUGGACUGUAACUGACGCUGAGGCUCGAAAGCGUGGGGAGCGAACAGGAUUAGAUACCCUGGUAGUCCACGCCGUAAACGAU